UACGGGGGGGGCAAGCGUUGUUCGGAAUUACUGGGCGUAAAGGGCUCGUAGGCGGCCAACUAAGUCAGACGUGAAAUCCCUCGGCUUAACCGGGGAACUGCAUCUGAUACUGGAUGGCUUGAGAUUGGGAGAGGGAUGCGGAAUUCCAGGUGUAGCGGUGAAAUGCGUAGAUAUCGGAAGGAACACCAGUGGCGAAAGCGGCUUCCUGGUCCAGCACCGACGUUCAGGCACGAAAGCGUGGGGAGCAAACAGG
rnacentral:rRNA from 1 species